UACGAAGGGGGCUAGCGUUGUUCGGAAUUACUGGGCGUAAAGCGCGUGUAGGCGGCCCACUAAGUCUGAUGUGAAAGCCCGGGGCUCACCCCCGGAAGUGCAUUGGAAACUGGUGGACUCGAGUCCCGGAGAGGAGAGUGGAAUUCCUGGUGUAGCGGUGAAAUGCGUAGAUAUCAGGAGGAACACCGGUGGCGAAGGCGGCUCUCUGGACGGUGACUGACGCUGAGACGCGAAAGCGUGGGGAGCAAACAGG
rnacentral:rRNA from 1 species